GUGCCCGAUACAUGCAAGUCGAACGAACUUCCGUUAAUUGAUUAUGACGUACUUGUACUGAUUGAGAUUUUAACACGAAGUGAGUGGCGAACGGGUGAGUAACACGUGGGUAACCUGCCCAGAAGUAGGGGAUAACACCUGGAAACAGAUGCUAAUACCGUAUAACAGAGAAAACCGCAUGGUUUUCUUUUAAAAGAUGGCUCUGCUAUCACUUCUGGAUGGACCCGCGGCGUAUUAGCUAGUUGGUGAGGUAAAGGCUCACCAAGGCAGUGAUACGUAGCCGACCUGAGAGGGUAAUCGGCCACAUUGGGACUGAGACACGGCCCAGACUCCUACGGGAGGCAGCAGUAGGGAAUCUUCCACAAUGGACGCAAGUCUGAUGGAGCAACGCCGCGUGAGUGAAGAAGGGUUUCGGCUCGUAAAGCUCUGUUGUUAAAGAAGAACGUGGGUAAGAGUAACUGUUUACCCAGUGACGGUAUUUAACCAGAAAGCCACGGCUAACUACGUGCCAGCAGCCGCGGUAAUACGUAGGUGGCAAGCGUUAUCCGGAUUUAUUGGGCGUAAAGCGAGCGCAGGCGGUCUUUUAAGUCUAAUGUGAAAGCCUUCGGCUCAACCGAAGAAGUGCAUUGGAAACUGGGAGACUUGAGUGCAGAAGAGGACAGUGGAACUCCAUGUGUAGCGGUGAAAUGCGUAGAUAUAUGGAAGAACACCAGUGGCGAAGGCGGCUGUCUGGUCUGCAACUGACGCUGAGGCUCGAAAGCAUGGGUAGCGAACAGGAUUAGAUACCCUGGUAGUCCAUGCCGUAAACGAUGAUUACUAAGUGUUGGAGGGUUUCCGCCCUUCAGUGCUGCAUCUAACGCAUUAAGUAAUCCGCCUGGCGGAGUACGACCGCAAGGGUUGAAACUCAUAGAAGUCGACGGGGGCCGCACAAGCGGUGAGCAUGUGGUUUAAUUCGAAGCUACGCGAGACCUACCAGGUCUGACAUCUUCUGACAUCUAGGAGAUCAGACGAUCCCUUCGGGACGGAUGUACAGAUGUGCAUUGAUUGUACGUCAGCUCAUGUCUGAUACGU
rnacentral:rRNA from 1 species